AGUAACGCAUCGGAACGUACCGAGUAGUGGGGGAUAACUGUCCGAAAGGAUGGCUAAUACCGCAUACGCUUUGAGAAGGAAAGCGGGGGAUCUUCGGACCUCGCGCUAUUCGAGCGGCCGAUGUCUGAUUAGCUGGUUGGUGGGGUAAAGGCCUACCAAGGCGACGAUCAGUAGCGGGUCUGAGAGGAUGAUCCGCCACACUGGGACUGAGACACGGCCCAGACUCCUACGGGAGGCAGCAGUGGGGAAUUUUGGACAAUGGGCGCAAGCCUGAUCCAGCCAUGCCGCGUGUCUGAAGAAGGCCUUCGGGUUGUAAAGGACUUUUGUCAGGGAAGAAAAGCUUGAGGCUAAUACCCUUAAGUGAUGACGGUACCUGAAGAAUAAGCACCGGCUAACUACGUGCCAGCAGCCGCGGUAAUACGUAGGGUGCGAGCGUUAAUCGGAAUUACUGGGCGUAAAGCGGGCGCAGACGGUUACUUAAGUCAGAUGUGAAAUCCCCGGGCUCAACCUGGGAACUGCGUUUGAAACUGGGUAGCUAGAGUAUGUCAGAGGGGGGUAGAAUUCCACGUGUAGCAGUGAAAUG
rnacentral:rRNA from 1 species